rnacentral:sRNA from 12 species
AUAAGGGAGGCUCCUGGAGAACGGUUGGUCAUCUGUUAAGGAUGGCAGCAUCUGUAGAGAUGUGGGCUCCUACCGCUGGGGGCUUUUUCAUAU